GUCCCUGUAGCGCAAAAGAUAGCGCGUUGGACAUCAAACUCAAAGAUCGUAGGUUCAAAUCUUACCUGGGAUG